rnacentral:lncRNA from 1 species
GAGGUAUUCCUAGAAUGCCUAAAAUGAACUGGGAGCUAUUCAUAAUUAAAACAUCAGAAUCUUGAGAUCAUUAUAUUGUGUCUGUAACAGUUUACUUAACAAGUUUUUAUAGCUAUUUCUUGAUGAACACUAUCUUCUUAAAUGUGUUGUUGAUAUGUGUUUCGUGCUAAUGAUUAUUGAUAAGUAGUACUUUUAUAGUUCUCUUAGAUAGAUUGCUUGCAAUUAUCUAGUUGAUUAAUUAUUGCAGUUGUGUUCACUCUUCAGAGUCACUGAAACUAAAUUGAGUUGGUAAUCUGUUUGUUGGCCUGACAAGUAACAUAAGUGAGUAUUUAUGAGUCAUUUUAUUCAACAUGUUCAAUAUAUCUAUUGCGAAGUAUUGUGCAAAGUAUGGAAAAUCGUAAAUAAUACUGGCAAAAUUGUGCCAAUAUUAUUCAGAUCACUUAACUUCACUUAUUACCGAAAGAAAGCCGUUGAUGAUUAUAUUCUUGCCAAGAUUCAUAUAUUUUUGCUGAUUGUAUACUAGUUUUUAGAAUAUGAAUUGAUAUUGAAUUGAUAUUAUAUUUAAUAAUUGGCAUUUCAUUUAAAAUGAUAGUAUAAUUUUGAUUUUGAAUUUGGAAGGUUAAUUUUGAAUAUUUAGAAAUUAUUUCAAGAAUUUAGUCCGAUAGUCCUAUGUAAUAUGUGUCAGUUCCUUUUUGUAUGUAUUAAGACUUAUGUCAAAUGUAAUUAUAAAAGAGUUUUUGUAUUAUUAUAUGUUGGUAGUUAAUUUUUGGGAUAUUUUUAAAAAUACCCAUCUGUAAAAUUAUUUUUUUAAAAAUACUACCAUCUUUUUCAUUGUUUUUAAAAAUACCUUUUCAUAAAUUUUUUUUUUCAAAAAUACGAUUUGCAACCUUUGCAACCUCAUUUGCAACCUUGGGCGGCGCAGCCGUAAAAGUUGCAAAUGAGGUUGCAAAAGUUGCAAAUAAAAAUGGAAAUGAGGUUGCAAAAGUUGCAAAUGAGGUUGCAAAAGUUGCAAAUAAAAAUGGAAAGUUGCAACAGUUGCAACUGCAAUUGCAACUAGUUCAACUGAAAACUGUAAGUUGCAAAAGUUGCAAAUGAGGUUGCAAAAGUUGCAACUGAGGUUGCAAAAGUUGCAACUGCAGUUGCAAAAGUUGCAACCUCAGUUGCAACUAAAUGCAACUGAAAACUGUAAGUAACAACAGAUGUAUGGUGUGCCCCUGGCGGGGCCGGUAGAUUACAAUAGAAUCAACUGAAUGCAACCAUAUGCAACUGAAUACAACCAUAUGCAACCAUAUAUGCAAUUACAAAUCCUGAUUUCAAGUUCCAGUUUUCGAAUGUCGUUUUCGACCUCAUUUUCGGAAUCGAUAUAUAUAUAUAUAUAUAUAUAUCUGUUCUGAUAUAAAGUCACUAUUCUCGUUAAAACUGCCUUUUGGUAGUUCUGAUAUAGUGACUCAAUAACUCAAUGAUUAAAGGCAGAAUUAAAUAGAUACUCUAGAAGCAAUGUAAAACACUUUUAUAUGAACGGUUUCAGAAAAAAGAUUAUUGAAAAUUUAGAUAUAAAACUGCUUUUACUACUCCCUUUGGUCACUAUGAAUGGAAUGUAGUUCCAUUUGGACUUAAAAAUGCCCCUAGUGAAUUCCAGAAUAUCAUGAAUAAUAUAUUUAACCCCUUUAGCCAUUUCUCAAUAGUAUAUGUAGAUGAUGUUCUUAUCUAUUCUAAUUCUAUUGAAGAACAUUGGAAACAUCUGAACUCUUUUUUCAAUACAAUUAAGACUAAUGGUCUAGUACUAUCACCAACUAAAUGUGUCUUAUUUCAGACAAAAGUAAGAUUUUUAGGUCAUACCAUUCAGUAUGGGAAAAUUAGACCAAUAGAUAGAUCAAUUGAAUUUGCUAGUAAAUUCCCAGAUGAAAUACUUGACAAAACCCAACUCCAAAGAUUUCUAGGAUCACUCAACUACAUAGGAGAAUUUUAUAAAGAUCUUAGGAAGCAAUGUAAACCAUUAUUCGAACGAUUGCAAAAUAAUCCCCCGCCUUGGACUUCUAUCCAUACUUCUAUUGUCCAAGAUAUUAAAAAAUAUGUUAAGACUCUUCCCUGUCUUGGCAUUGCUAAUCCUUCUGCAUUUAAAAUAGUAGAAACCGAUGCCUCUGAAGUUGGAUUUGGAGGUAUUCUUAAACAAAAAUUAAACCCUUCUUCACAUGAAGAAAUUGUUUGUUUUCAUUCAGGAGCUUGGGAUCAAACCCAACAAAAUUAUUCAACCAUUAAAAAAGAAAUUUUAAGCCUUGUCUUAUGCAUCAAUAAAUUCCAGCAUGAACUUUUAAAUCAAAAGUUUUUAGUCAGAAUUGAUUGCCAGUCAGCAAAAUUUAUUUUAGAAAAAGAUGUUCAAAAUAUUGCAUCAAAACAGAUUUUUGCCAGAUGGCAGGCUUUAUUAAGCAUAUUUGAUUUUGAUAUACAAUACAUUAAAGGAAGUGAAAAUUCUAUUCCAGAUUUUCUAACUAGAGAAUUUCUACAAACAGGAGUGAAAGAUGAGUGUGAGAGAUAACAAUAGCCAGGUUAUUAUAUAUAUAUAUAUAUAUAUAUCGAUUCCGAAAAUGAGGUCGAAAACGACAUUCGAAAACUGGAACUUGAAAUCAGGAAUUUGGUUGCAUAUGAAGUUGCAAAAGAGGUUGCAACACGGCUGGCGCCGCCUGGAGUUGCAGAUGAGGUUGCAAAAGUUGCAAACAGUAUUUUUGAAAAAAAGAUUUUAUGAAAAGGUAUUUUUAAAAAGAAUUCUGGAAGGUAGUAUUUUUGUAAAUAAUUAAAGAAAAGGUAGGUAGUUUUGUAGAUUUCCCUUAAUUUUUAUAGCUAACAAAUUUCAAAAAUAUAUAUUAUUUGCACAUACAUCUUCAGAACAUAUUACAUAAAUAAGCUGCUCCAGAGCUCUUCAUCCCAA